GUGUGCUCCUGCUAAGGUAGUGGCUAAAAAGCAUUCACUGAAUGGGUUUUAUGUCCAUCUGUGUGUGUGUGUAUUGUGCUCAGGCAUAUUGAAACGACAUUCAACACAAUGCACACAUGCACACACAUACACUCACACACAGCUGGGCAUAAAACCCAUUCAAUAAAUGCUUUUAAGCCACUCCUUUGGCAGGAAUACACAGGAAUUUCUUUUAGACAAUAGACAACUUCACUCUCUAACACUUUGAACUCUAUACCAAACUAUAUUUAAAGAAGACUUCAACGAAAACUCUCCAGAUAUGUUCUUGAUCUCCAGACAGAAGAUAAACUGUUUUUACUUGAAACUUUUAUAAAUUUUUACUGAUAUUUGAUCAAAUGAGAUUCAUCAUCGAAACCGCAAUACCUGGAAAAAUCAUGGAUUACAUGGAAAAAUGCGAACAGGAAAAGUAAAAGUACAGGACAAGUUAUUACACCAGUAAAAGGAUGAAUCAUGUAAGAGAGGAUUAGUCUUGAAUUCUUGAGAACAUGCCCACUCGAUCCAUUUUCAGUAGAUAAAAGAUAUGUAUUCGACAACAUGUUUUUUUUUCAAUUGGUUAAUUGGCAAACACAGAGACUAUGUGCCUCCGGCUGACAGAUCUGCUGCGUAGCCCAUACUGCUGAGAGUGGUAAUAGACGUGAAACCAAUGGUAAAUUUCUGACCAACCAUAAAU